rnacentral:rRNA from 1 species
CCUACGGGUGACAGCAGUAGGGAAUCUUCCACAAUGGGCGAAAGCCUGAUGGAGCAACGCCGCAUGGGUGAAGAAGGUCUUCGGAACGUAAAACCCUGUUGUUAGAGAAGAAAGUGCGUGAGCGUAACUGUUCACGUUUCGACGGUAUCUUACCAGCACGCCACGGCUAACUACGUGCCAGCAGCCGCGGCAGUACGUAGGGGGCAAGAGUUAUCCGGAUUUAUUGGGCGUAAAGGGAACGCAGGCGGUCUUGUAAGUCUGAUGUGAAAGCCUUCGGCUUAACCGGUGAAGUGCAUUGGAAACUGGGCGACUUGAGUGCAGGAGAGGAGAGCGGAACUCCAUGUGUAGCGGUGAAAUGCGUAGAUAUAUGGAAGAACACCAGUGGCGAAGGCGGCUCUCUGGUCUGUAACUGACGCUGAGGUUCGAAAGCGUGGGUAGCAAACAGGAUUAGAUACCCCUGUAGUC